UACGUAGGGGGCAAGCGUUGUCCGGAUUCAUUGGGCGUAAAGAGCGUGUAGGCGGCCAGGUAGGUCGGUUGUGAAAACUGGAGGCUCAACCUUCAGAGGUCGACCGAAACCAUCUGGCUAGAGUCCGGGAGAGGAGAGUGGAAUUCCUGGUGUAGCGGUGAAAUGCGCAGAUAUCAGGAAGAACACCCGUGGCGAAAGCGGCUCUCUGGACCGGUACUGACGCUGAUGCGCGAAAGCGUGGGGAGCAAACGGG
rnacentral:rRNA from 1 species